rnacentral:lncRNA from 1 species
CUCACUCAACUAUACGAACUACUAGUGUAUACUAUAAACAUACACGGGAGCACUCAAGCCUAAACUAUAAUAGGAAGGGUAUAAGACUAGCAUACGAGCAUAUAAACCAAGCAUAUAAACAUAGAAAGGGAAUAAGACUACUCAUGCAACCAAGUAUAACACUAUAGAAAGGAAUCACAACUACUAGCUUACUACACUACGAAGGAAGCCAGCAUCCGAAGAGGUACAAGCUAGGAGGAGAGUGCCGACACCCGGGCACUCCUCUUAAACACUCCUCACUCUCUCCCUACUCUAAGCACUAGCUAGGCAGCGCUUUGCCAUGGAGCUCUUCUUUUGAUAGGAAUGGAAGUGAAGUUCACCCAAGGUGGUGGUGUGUUCUCAAAUGAGACUCCUCC